CAGUAGCCACGGGAAUACGAAGGGUGCAAGCGUUACUCGGAAUUACUGGGCGUAAAGCGCGCGUAGGUGGUGGUUUAAGUCCGUUGUGAAAGCCCUGGGCUCAACCUGGGAGUUGCAGUGGAUACUGGGUCACUAGAGUGUGGUAGAGGAUAGUGGAAUUUCCGGUGUAGCAGUGAAAUGCGUAGAGAUCGGAAGGAACAUCUGUGGCGAAGGCGACUAUCUGGGCCAACACUGACACUGAGGCACGAAAGCGUGGGGAGCAAACAGGAUUAGAUACCCCAGUAGUCCCUGUCUCUUAUAA
rnacentral:rRNA from 1 species